AGCAUGGCAGAAACCUCUUGAGAGGAUUAUGUUUAAGUAUGUUGAGCUCUGUGUGGACAUGAGGAAAGGAAGGUUUGCUAAGGAUGGUUUAAUUCAAUACCGUAUUGUUUGCCAGCAAGUCAAUGUUACUUCUUUAGAGGAAGUAAUCAAGCACUUUAUGCAUCUUUCCACUGAGAAGGCAGAGCAGGCUCGUAGUCAAGCUCAAGCCUUAGAAGAAGCUCUGGACGUUGAUGAUUUAGAAGCUGAUAAAAGACCAG
rnacentral:misc_RNA from 1 species